rnacentral:rRNA from 1 species
UGCCACAUCUAUAUCACCCUGCAGCCCAAGACUUUACUCACGGAGGCUAAGCAGGGCUAAGCCUGGUCAGUACCUGGAUGGGAAACCACAUGGGAAACUAGGUUGCUGUUAGAA